AGUGAACGCUGGCGGUAGGCCUAACACAUGCAAGUCGAACGGCAGCACAGUAAGAGCUUGCUCUUACGGGUGGCGAGUGGCGGACGGGUGAGGAAUACAUCGGAAUCUACUUUUUCGUGGGGGAUAACGUAGGGAAACUUACGCUAAUACCGCAUACGACCUACGGGUGAAAGCAGGGGAUCUUCGGACCUUGCGCGAUUGAAUGAGCCGAUGUCGGAUUAGCUAGUUGGCGGGGUAAAGGCCCACCAAGGCGACGAUCCGUAGCUGGUCUGAGAGGAUGAUCAGCCACACUGGAACUGAGACACGGUCCAGACUCCUACGGGAGGCAGCAGUGGGGAAUAUUGGACAGUGGGCGCAAGCCUGAUCCAGCCAUACCGCGUGGGUGAAGAAGGCCUUCGGGUUGUAAAGCCCUUUUGUUGGGAAAGAAAAGCAGCAGGCUAAUACCCCGCUGUUCUGACGGUACCCAAAGAAUAAGCACCGGCUAACUUCGU
rnacentral:rRNA from 1 species